rnacentral:lncRNA from 1 species
AGGUAAGACCCACUUGCUUCUCACAGCGUGCAAUGCCAGUUCAGUACCCCCACUACUCAAGGUUGAGGGGGUGUGCCUAGCUCGUCUGCAGGGCAGCCCUGGCAGGAAGUGGUUGGAUCAUGAAAGCUUUAACCUUACCAAUGGACUAAUCCAUUGAUGAAUUCAUAGCUGAAUGGACUUUUGGAUGGUGGUGGAAGCUGUAGGAGGCGGGGCCUAGUUGAAGGGCAUGGAUCCCUGGAGUACUGUAUCUUUUCUACAACCCCUUCUCUUUCUCUCCUCGCUGCCUCCCUGUGCUUUCUAGCUGCCAUGAGGUUAACAGCUUUGCUCUGUCACUCCCUUCCACCACAAUGCUCUGCCUCAUCCCAGGCUCAGAAACAGUGGAGUCUGCUGACAGUAACCUGAAACUGUGGGCCAAAAUAAAUCUUUCCUCCUUUAAAUUGUUUUUCUUAGGUAUUUUGUCACAGCAAUGAAAAGCUGAUUAACACAAUUCCUUUCUGUAACAGUUCUCUAACUUCUGCAUUUUUAGUCAUAUGACUAUGUUGCCCAUCCAGAAAAUAAGUAAAAUAUUAAGUAAGAAUCAGAUUGGCAGAAAGGGUGAUCAGAUCAUCAAAAAUAGAGAAUAAGACACCAUAAUUAUUUUUGAGAACUAACAAUCUAGCAGAAGAAGCAGCAAAAUACAAAAUGAUUACAAUACAGAGGCAUGCACAAGCUGCUAAAAGGGCACAUAAGCAGGGACUCUCAAGCAUCCAGAGGUUAAGGAGUUAAGGAAGAUGUUUCAUAAAAUGGGAGAGCUUAGCUGAGUGAUUAGAGAGGAGAAGAGAUAGCAAGAGAGAAGAAGGGUGGUGGAAGGGCAUUUUUGGAAAGGGGAACAGCAUGUUCAAGAGAUUUAAAAGAAUAAUAGUAAGGGAUAGGAAAAGCAGCAGAAUACAACAGACACUAGUAUGGCAGUAUGUAUAAAUGUGGCUGUAUAACCAAUGUGAUCCUGCAAUCUGUACACGUGGUAAAAAUAAUAAUUCAUACCUCAUUUGAAUCAAAUGUAUGAUAUAUGAUAUGUCAAGAUCAUUGUAAUGUUUUAAGCAAC